AGGCAGCCAACCACGGUAGGUUCAGUGACUGGGGUGAAGUCGUAACAAGGUAGCCGUAGGGGAACCUGCGGCUGGAUCACCUCCUUUCUAAGGAUGAUCUUAGCUGAAAGUUUACUUUCACGUAGAUCACUUUUUAGCAGCUCUUAAAUGAGCUUUAGUAGUCUUCGGACUACAUUAUAGACCGAACCGUCCUCAUAUCUCUUCAGUAAUAAUAAUUUUGCAGGUCAUCGAUCUGUUAAGGGUCGGUAGCUCAGGUGGUUAGAGCGCACGCCUGAUAAGCGUGAGGUCGGAGGUUCAAGUCCUCCUCGACCCACCAUAAAAUGGGGCGUUAGCUCAGCUGGGAGAGCACCUGCUUUGCAAGCAGGGGGUCAUCGGUUCGAUCCCGAUACGCUCCACCAUUUCCUUCAGAUUAUUAUAUCAAUUCCGAUUAGAUCAUUAAGGACUGUAAGCAGUUUUUAAUCAUCCAAUCGGAUGGCGAACCUUCGGGUUCACUUUUACAUCGUUUAGAGAGCAUAUAAAACACGAGACGUAAGUUUCUUGUUUGGACCACUUCUUCGGAAAAGGUUAGGAAUUGAAUAUUUUGAGGCUGAAGAGCUUUGAGAGACUAGAUUGUUAGCUGGUUCGCAGUAUCAUAGGUAACUAUGAAGCAUAAUCAGACUAGGGUGACCAACCCACUGUGCGUGUGCUGUUGGUGAGCGUUCCAGUGCGGUUCGCAAGCUUAUUCAAAGAUAAUUUACAGUCUUUCCAAGUCAAAUACACUAACCAAAGUCACAGUGAAUUAGAUCUACUGUGACAUGAAGGGAUGCUCGAAAGAGCAUUCAUUCGCUGGAAUGUGCGUGACCUUCCUGCCAAGGGAGGGUUACAUUUGAGUUCAAAAUAAAAUGUUGUUUUUGCAAUUGCAAAACAAUGACGUGCCUAUCGCAAGAUAGGUGCUGAUGAACAAUUUUCUCAAAAAAAAUGACGACUUCUGUUCUAGAAAUAGUCUGACUAUUUCUGGAUCAGAUCAAGCGCGAGAAGGGCGUUUGGUGGAUGCCUUGGCAGUAAGAGGCGAUGAAGGACGUGAUACUCUGCGAUAAGCUUUGGGAAGUCGAGAAUAGACGCUAUACCCAAAGAUCU
rnacentral:misc_RNA from 1 species